rnacentral:rRNA from 1 species
UGCGUAGGCGGCGCUGCAUGUCGGAUGUGAAAUCUCACGGCUUACCCGUGAAACUGCAUUCGAAACUGCAGUGCUAGAGUAUGGGAGAGGAGAGCGGAACUCUUGGUGUAGCGGUGAAAUGCGUAGAUAUCAAGAAGAACACCGGUGGCGAAAGCGGCUCUCUGGACCAAUACUGACGCUGAGGCACGAAAGCUGGGGGAGCAAAGA